UACGGCCAUCUCAGAUUGAAACACCAUUUACCAUACGAUCACCAAAGCUAUGCACAGUCGAGCCUUACCAGUAUCGACAUGGGUGACCUCUUGGGAAUACCAGGGGUUGCA